UGGGGUAUCGCCAAGCGGUAAGGCACCGACUUAUCUCCGGCAUUCCGAGUGUUCGAAUCCUCGUACCCCAGCCA
rnacentral:tRNA from 1 species